rnacentral:rRNA from 1 species
UUCCUACGGGGGGCAGCAGUGGGGGAUAUUGCACAAUGGGGGAAACCCUGAUCCAGCGAUGCCGCGUGAGGGAAGAAGGUUUUCGGAUUGUAAACCUCUGUGGAGGGGGACGAUAAUGACGGUACCCCUUUAGGAAGCCACGGCUAACUACGUGCCAGCAGCCGCGGUAAUACGUAGGUGGCGAGCGUUAUCCGGAUUUACUGGGUGUAAAGGGAGCGUAGACGGCAGCGCAAGUCUGAAGUGAAAUCCCAUGGCUUAACCAUGGAACUGCUUUGGAAACUGUGCAGCUGGAGUGCAGGGGAGGU